rnacentral:lncRNA from 1 species
GUUGGGUUAAUAAAAGAAGUUUUAUAAUCUUGGUGAUGAAGAGGUUGGAAUCCUCGUGAUGAUGUUGGUGUAGGGAAUGUAAGCACGAUGGAGUGGUAUUAUGAUUCUUUGGAUUUUAUUUGGUGUUUCUGGAUUUGUGUUGGUUCUGUCUAUAAUUCUAAGGACCGGUUCAUGAAGCCUAUAAUGCAGCUUAACAACAUAACUAUGAGAUCUAAUUGGCUUUGCUUGGUCUAGUAGUCAGUGUUCAGUAUUGUUGGCAUUGUGGUUGUUUGAUAGGCACAACAAGGGGCGCUGCAGUGGUGAUGUUGCCACACUAUUAGAGGUGAAAUUUUAGUGGGUUUGAGACGGGUUUUGAGAAAGGUCUUGUACUGAAGCCUACCCACACAUCGGAAAUGUGAUGUGGGCUUGAUAAAUCCUGGUAAACGGGGAUCACAACUCAUGGUUAAAGUGUGAAACAUUUAUAGUGUAAAAUUGAUAUAUUAACCAUGCUCAUGGUCAAGAGCAGCCUAUAAUUUAGCACUACUCAUGUAUUUUGGAAACUUUAAAUUGCUUGAUGCUAUGAAGCAUGGAGUAAUUAAAAAGACUAAUACUUUAUUUUGGUUCAUUUCUAUGGCUUUGUAUUGAAUGUAUUCAUUUCACACAAUACUUCAAUUAUGGGCAUCAUCUAUUAAUCCCUACUUUUGUAUUUUUCCGAUGUAAGGAGAUUGUAAUUUGCUCUGCAUUGUUUUGUAGUAAUCAUAGCUUAAGGUCUUUUUAGACAUUGACUAUUAUUUUCUAUGCUCUAAAACUUAUAGCAUGAUGGAUUAUAUGUAGC